rnacentral:rRNA from 1 species
GAGUUUUGAUCCUGGCUCAGGAUGAACGCUAGCUACAGGCUUAACACAUGCAAGUCGAGGGGCAGCGGGCAGAAAGCUUGCUUUCUGUGCCGGCGACCGGCGCAACGGGUGCGUAACGCGUAUCGAACCUACCACAUACUCAGGGAUAGCCUUGCGAAAGUAAGAUUAUACCUGAUGUUAUUAAACAAUCGCAUGAUGGUUUAAUCAAAGAUUUAUUGGUAUGUGAUGGCGAUGCGUCUGAUUAGGUAGUAGGCGGGGUAACGGCCCACCUAGCCAUCGAUCAGUAGGGGUUCUGAGAGGAAGGUCCCCCACAUUGGAACUGAGACACGGUCCAAACUCCUACGGGAGGCAGCAGUGAGGAAUAUUGGUCAAUGGACGGAAGUCUGAACCAGCCAAGUAGCGUGCAGGAUGACGGCCUCCGGGUUGUAAACUGCUUUAGUUCGGGAAUAACGACGGGACGUGUCCCUGGAACGAAUGUACCGAAAGAAUAAGGACCGGCUAAUUCCGUG